AACGAACGCUGGCGGCAUGCCUAACACAUGCAAGUCGAACGAGACCUUCGGGUCUAGUGGCGCACGGGUGCGUAACGCGUGGGAACCUGCCCUUAGGUUCGGAAUAACUCCCCGAAAGGGGUGCUAAUACCGGAUAAUGUCUUCGGACCAAAGAUUUAUCGCCUUUGGAUGGGCCCGCGUUGGAUUAGCUAGUUGGUAGGGUAAAAGCCUACCAAGGCGACGAUCCAUAGCUGGUCUGAGAGGAUGAUCAGCCACACUGGGACUGAGACACGGCCCAGACUCCUACGGGAGGCAGCAGUGGGGAAUAUUGGACAAUAGGCGAAAGGCUGAUCCAGAAAUGCCGCGUGAAUGAUGAAGGCCUUAGGGUUGUAAAGCUCUUUUACCCGGGAUGAUAAUGACGGUACCGGGAGAAUAAGCUCCGGCUAACUCCGUU
rnacentral:rRNA from 1 species